AUACGGAGGGUGCAAGCGUUACUCGGAAUCACUGGGCGUAAAGCGCGCGCAGGCGGCUAUUUAAGUUGGAUGUGAAAGCCUACGGCUCAACCGUAGAACUGCAUCCAAAACUAUUUAGCUAGAGUGUGGGAGAGGAAGAUGGAAUUAGUUGUGUAGGGGUAAAAUCCGUAGAGAUAACUAGGAAUACCAAAAGCGAAGGCAAUCUUCUGGAACACUACUGACGCUGAGGCGUAAAAGCGUGGGGAGCAAACAGGAUUAGAAACCCUAGUAGUCC
rnacentral:rRNA from 1 species